rnacentral:rRNA from 1 species
AUGAACGCUGGCGGCGUGCCUAAUACAUGCAAGUCGAGCGAACGGACGAGAAGCUUGCUUUUCUGAUGUUAGCGGCGGACGGGUGAGUAACACGUGGAUAACCUACCUAUAAGACUGGGAUAACUUCGGGAAACCGGAGCUAAUACCGGAUAAUAUUUUGAACCGCAUGGUUCAAAAGUGAAAGACGGUCUUGCUGUCACUUAUAGAUGGAUCCGCGCUGCAUUAGCUAGUUGGUAAGGUAACGGCUUACCAAGGCAACGAUGCAUAGCCGACCUGAGAGGGUGAUCGGCCACAAUGGAACUGAGAAAAGGUCCAGACUCCUACGGGAGGCAGCAGUAGGGAAUCUUCCGCAAUGGGCGAAAGCCUGACGGAGCAACGCCGCGUGAGUGAUGAAGGUCUUCGGAUCGUAAAACUCUGUUAUUAGGGAAGAACAUAUGUGUAAGUAACUGUGCACAUCUUGACGGUACCUAAUCAGAAAGCCACGGCUAACUACGUG